GUGCUUGCUUCAGCAGCGCAUAUACUAAAAUUGGAAUGAUACAGAGAAGAUCAGCAUGGCCCCUGUGUGAGGAUGACACACAAAUUUGUGCAGUGUUCCAUAUUUUU